rnacentral:ncRNA from 1 species
CCGAGUUGGGUGAGUCGGAGAGGGGGAUGGAAUAUGCUCACUCUUCGUUGACAAAAAAAAGUAGCCAAAUGCCUCGUCAUCUAAUUAGUGACGCGCAUGAAUGGAUUAACGAGAUUCCCUCUGUCCUUAUCUACUAUCGAGCGAAACCACAGCCAAGGGAACGGGCUUGGAUGCACCAGCGGGGAAAGAAGACCCUGUUGAGCGUGACUCUAGUCUGGCAUUGUAAGGCGAUAUAGGAGGUGCAGCAUAGGUGGGAGGGCUUCCUCGUGGAGCUCGCCUCUGAGAUACCACCACUCUUACUGUUGCCUUACUUACAUGAUUGGGUGGAACAAGCGCGGGCCCCAGGUCCGGAUCGUGCGCGCACCUCCUCCGGGGGGCUGGUGCGUCGGGUUAGGAGAGUUUCGAGACUUUUGCCAAGAGUUGGUGCCAUUUGGUGGAUAAUUAAUGUUCUAGCCACAAUAAUUUUGCGCGCAAGGAUGCUGGCUGCCAACCGGUCAUUCUACAGCCUGAAAAAGCAGUUCACCUCAACGAACCUGUCGCGACGGACGAAGCUGGGACUAUAUAGUACCUAUAUAGUACCAGUACUCACAUACGCCUCUGAGACAUGGACACUGUCCAAAUCUGACGAAACCCUCUUAGCCGCGUUCGAGAGGAACCUUUUUAGGCCGUCCACAAGGACAGAGGAGGCGUGGUAGGCCCAAAUUGAGGUGGCAAGAUGACGUGGAGGCGUCCGCCAUUAAGGCCGGGAUAACGGACUGGCAGACGAAGGCGCGAGACCGUGAGCGGUUUCGGACACUCCUGAGGCAGGCCAAGACCGCAAAGCGGUUGUAGCGCCGGAUAAGUAAGUAAGUAAGUAAGCCACAAUAAAGGUGCCACAUAAUGCCAAUAAGGAAAAAGCCGUUUUCUAGGGACUUCCAGUCAAAAUGUUUGCCAUCAGCGCUUUCCUGUCGAGUUCAGGAUCUGGGACUUUUUUCCACGAUCCAAUCAAACGACCAGAUCGUGAAUAAACAAUUCAUACAACAGUGCAUCCCUUUAAAGUAGGAAAAAACCGAAUUCUAGGGAGCUCCAGUCCAAAAGGUUGUCAUCAGCGCUUUCCUCUCGAGUUCAGGAUUUGGGACUUAGCGUUUUUUUCGCGAUCCAGCCAAAAGACCAGAUCGUGAAAUAAACAAUUAAUAUAACUGUACUAGUACAUCCCUUCAACUGAAGCAAGUGCACCAUACAUGACCCGUACGCCAAUCAUCCAUGCACAUG